UACGUAGGGUGCGAGCGUUAAUCGGAAUUACUGGGCGUAAAGCGUGCGUAGGCGGUUCGUUAAGUUCGUUGUGAAAGCCCCGGGCUCAACCUGGGAACUGCAAUGGAAACUGGCGGGCUUGAGUGUGGCAGAGGGGGGUGGAAUUCCGCGUGUAGCAGUGAAAUGCGUAGAGAUUGGAAAGAACACCGAUGGCGAAGGCACUUUACUGGGCUAUUACUAACACUGAGAGACGAAAGCUAGGGUAGCAAAUGGG
rnacentral:rRNA from 1 species